AUUGAACGCUGGCGGCAGGCCUAACACAUGCAAGUCGAGCGAGCGGCGGACGGGGGAGUAAUGUUUGGGAAACUGCCUGAUGGAGGGGGAUAACUACUGGAAACGGUAGCUAAUACCGCCUACCAUCAGUUGUGCCCCGAUGGGAUUAGCUAGUAGGUGGGGUAACGGCUCACCUAGGCGGCGAUCCCUAGCGGGUCUGAGAGGAUGACCAGCCACACUGGAACUGAGACACGGGCCAGACUCCUACGGGAGGCAGCAGUGGGGAAUAUUGGACAAUGGGCGCAAGCCUGAUCCAGCCAUGCCGCGUGUGUGAAGAAGGCCUUCGGGUUGUAAAGCACUUUCAGCGGGGAGGCGGUACCCGAAGAAGAAGCACCGGCUAACUACGUGCCAGCCGCCGCGGUAAUUC
rnacentral:rRNA from 1 species